rnacentral:rRNA from 1 species
GUGUCAGCCGCCGCGGUAAUACGGAGGAUCCAAGCGUUAUCCGGAUUUAUUGGGUUUAAAGGGUGCGUAGGCGGCCUAUUAAGUCAGGGGUGAAAGACGGUAGCUUAACUAUCGCAGUGCCUUUGAUACUGAUGGGCUUGAAUGGACUAGAGGUAGGCGGAAUGUGACAAGUAGCGGUGAAAUGCAUAGAUAUGUCACAGAACACCAAUUGCGAAGGCAGCUUACUAUGGUUUAAUUGACGCUGAGGCACGAAAGCGUGGGGAUCAAACAGGAUUAGAUACCCUAGUAGUCC